rnacentral:rRNA from 1 species
AUUGAACGCCGGCGGCAGGCCUAACACAUGCAAGUCGAGCGGAUGAAGGGAGCUUGCUCCUGGAUUCAGCGGCGGACGGGUGAGUAAUGCCUAGGAAUCUGCCUGGUAGUGGGGGAUAACGUCCGGAAACGGGCGCUAAUACCGCAUACGUCCUGAGGGAGAAAGUGGGGGAUCUUCGGACCUCACGCUAUCAGAUGAGCCUAGGUCGGAUUAGCUAGUUGGUGGGGUAAAGGCCUACCAAGGCGACGAUCCGUAACUGGUCUGAGAGGAUGAUCAGUCACACUGGAACUGAGACACGGUCCAGACUCCUACGGGAGGCAGCAGUGGGGAAUAUUGGACAAUGGGCGAAAGCCUGAUCCAGCCAUGCCGCGUGUGUGAAGAAGGUCUUCGGAUUGUAAAGCACUUUAAGUUGGGAGGAAGGGCAGUAAGCUAAUACCUUGCUGUUUUGACGUUACCAACAGAAUAAGCACCGGCUAACUUCGUG